rnacentral:rRNA from 1 species
UACGAAGGGGGCUAGCGUUGCUCGGAAUCACUGGGCGUAAAGGCGCACGUAGGCGGUCUUUAAGUCAGGGGUGAAAUCCUGGAGCUCAACUCCAGAACUGCCUUUGAUACUGAAGAUCUUGAGUUCGGGAGAGGUGAGUGGAACUGCGAGUGUAGAGGUGAAAUUCGUAGAUAUUCGCAAGAACACCAGUGGCGAAGGCGGCUCACUGGCCCGAUACUGACGCUGAGGCACGAAAGCGUGGGGAGCAAACAGGG